UUGAUGAUCGGUGCUUGCACCGAGAUUCAACAUGGAACGAGUGGCGGACGGGUGAGUAACACGUGGGUAACCUGCCCUUAAGUGGGGGAUAACAUUUGGAAACAGAUGCUAAUACCGCAUAGAUCCAAGAACCGCAUGGUUCUUGGCUGAAAGAUGGCGUAAGCUAUCGCUUUUGGAUGGACCCGCGGCGUAUUAGCUAGUUGGUGAGGUAAUGGCUCACCAAGGCGAUGAUACGUAGCCGAACUGAGAGGUUGAUCGGCCACAUUGGGACUGAGACACGGCCCAAUACUCCUACGGGAGGCAGCAGUAGGGAAUCUUCCACAAUGGACGCAAGUCUGAUGGAGCAACGCCGCGUGAGUGAAGAAGGCUUUCGGGUCGUAAAACUCUGUUGUUGGAGAAGAAUGGUCGGCAGAGUAACUGUUGUCGGCGUGACGGUAUCCAACCAGAAAGCCACGGCUAACUACGUGCCAGCAGCCGCGGUAAUACGUAGGUGGCAAGCGUUAUCCGGAUUUAUUGGGCGUAAAGCGAGCGCAGGCGGUUUUUUAAGUCUGAUGUGAAAGCCCUCGGCUUAACCGAGGAAGCGCAUCGGAAACUGGGAAACUUGAGUGCAGAAGAGGACAGUGGAACUCCAUGUGUAGCGGU
rnacentral:rRNA from 1 species